CGGGGGGAGCAAGCGUUGUUCGGAUUUACUGGGCGUAAAGGGCGCGUAGGCGGCCACCGCAAGUCGACUGUGAAAUCUCCGGGCUUAACCCGGAAAGGUCAGCCGAUAUUGCGGGGCUAGAGUGCAGAAGGGGCAACUGGAAUUCUCGGUGUAGCGGUGAAAUGCGUAGAUAUCGAGAGGAACACCUGCGGCGAAGGCGGGUUGCUGGGCUGACACUGACGCUGAUGCGCGAAAGCUAGGGGAGCGAACGGGAUUAGAUACCCCCGGUAGUCCUAGCCUUAAACGAUGAAUGCUUGGUGUCUGGGGUUUUAUAGUCCCCGGGUGCCGUCGCUAACGCUUUAAGCAUUCCGCCUGGGGAGUACGGUCGCAAGACUG
rnacentral:rRNA from 1 species